UACGUAGGGGGCAAGCGUUGUCCGGAUUUAUUGGGCGUAAAGAGCGUGUAGGCGGCCAUACAGGUCAGCUGUGAAAACUCGAGGCUCAACCUCGAGACGUCGGUUGAAACCGUAUGGCUAGAGUCCGGAAGAGGAGAGUGGAAUUCCCGGUGUAGCGGUGAAAUGCGUAGAUAUCAAGAGGAACACCUGAGGUGAAGACGGGUUGCUGGGCUGACACUGACGCUGAGGCGCGAAAGCCAGGGGAGCAAACGGG
rnacentral:rRNA from 1 species